rnacentral:sRNA from 1 species
CCUCCGGAACCUGCUGCGGGCAGAUCAGAUGGACGUGGCAGUCCACCGCGCCGGCGGUGAGGAUCUUCCCGUUACCGGCGAUGAUCUCGGUGCCGGGCCCCAUCACCAGCUCGGGAUGGACGCCGUCCAUUGUGUCCGGGUUGCCGGCCUUACCCAGCGCGACGAUCCGGCCAUCGCGGAUCCCCACGUCGGCCUUGACCACACCCCAGUGGUCGAGAACGACGGCGCCGGUGAUGACGAGGUCGGGCGCACCCUCGGCGCGGGUUGCCAGGGACUGCCCCAUCGACUCACGGAUG